AGGAACAUGCCAGAGCAGAGUGGAACCCUUUCAACCACAGAGUAUAUUCAUACUUAUCCUGUUACAGCAAUAGAAAUACAAUGGUAAGUCAUUUAAUAUUUUACAUUUGCUGGAACAUCCCACAGGAAUGUUGGCAAUGCACAAGGCAGCUCAGAAACUAUGGGCAGAAGAAAGAAGUUGUGGGACUGAUAUGAACAAAACAACAAGGAUGCAAAAACCCCCAUCUUUAGGACACAAAUGUGAAAGACAGAACUCAGUGGUGGUUGUUGAAAACUGCCUGACUGAAAACAUGCUGAAAUAGCAUCACAUGAUAUUUGAGCCAGGGGCAGCAGGAAGCUCUCGCUGCUCUGCAGCCACAGCCGCGUUCGACACCGGGUGGGAUGCAGGGCGCCGAGCGCUGGAGACACUCAGGGCCACGCACAGAAUCCUCCUGCCUCAGAACACCAAUAAAUCUGGUUCCACUGGGUUGAUACAACCAGCACUCACUGUCACAGCACAGACCUGCCCAGCAGCUGCAGCCAGGACCUUUGGCUGCCAAGUGUCCUUCCCUAAAUCCAUCUUGUGGGCCAAAGGCAAAGGACGUGUUGCAAUGGACAACACUAUCAAACAUGGAUCAAUGGCCAUCAGCCUGAUUCUCCCCCUCCUCUUAGUGAAGGCACAUUCAUUUACCUGGUUUCUUCCUAUACAAUCAG
rnacentral:lncRNA from 1 species